GGACUACUGGGGUAUCUAAUCCCGUUCGCUCCCCAUGCUGUCGUGUCUGAGCGUCAGGGGCGAGCCAGGAGGCCGCCUUCGCCUCUGGGGUUCCUCCGGAUCUCUACGCAUUUCACCACUACACCCGGAAUUCCGCCUCCCUCUCUCGCCCUCUAGGUUCCCAGUCUGGCAUAACCCCGCCCGGUUGAGCCGGGCGAUUUCAUACACCACUUGAGUACCCGCCUGCACACCCUUUACGCCCAGUAAAUCCGGAUAACGCUUGCCACCUACGUUUUACCGCGGCUGCUGGCAC
rnacentral:rRNA from 1 species